CAGCAGCCACGGUAAUACGGAGGGAGCUAGCGUUGUUCGGAAUCACUGGGCGUAAAGCGCACGUAGGCGGCUAUUCAAGUCAGGGGUGAAAGCCCGGGGCUCAACCCCGGAACUGCCUUUGAAACUAGAUAGCUUGAAUCUUGGAGAGGCGAGUGGAAUUCCGAGUGUAGAGGUGAAAUUCGUAGAUAUUCGGAAGAACACCAGUGGCGAAGGCGACUCGCUGGACAAGUAUUGACGCUGAGGUGCGAAAGCGUGGGGAGCAAACAGGAUUAGAUACCGCGUAGUCCCUGUCUCUUAUACA
rnacentral:rRNA from 1 species